rnacentral:rRNA from 1 species
ACGUGAACCGUCAGGGGUAAACCUGUGAAAUCCAAAAGAUCGAACGGAGGAGAUUCACCGUCAACGACGCUGGCUUCACGGCGGCACGCGAUACCGAGGAUCACGAUCCGACGGUACGCUGCCAUCGCGUAUGUCCGGUGGCGUCGGCGUGCACUUCUCCUCUUGUAGAACGUCGCGACCCGUUGGGUGUCGGUCUACGGCCCGGGUGGUUGCCUGUCGCGUCGCAUUCAUGCGCACGCGGCAGACCCCCGGUCGCCUGGCCGGCUGCCCGGCGGUACACGGAACGGUAUCGGGCCGCAAACUAACUGCGUCGAGCCCGCCGCAAGCGCGGUCAUUGUCACUUGGACGUCGGACCUAGUGCCGGCGCCGGUCUUUGCCAGCUGUUGGCAGGCGGUGUUCCUCGACUGGCCGAAACAAACGAACGUUACCGGUCGGCGACGCUACUGCUUUGGGUACUCUCAGGACCCGUCUUGAAACACGGACCAAGGAGUCUAACAUGUGCGCGAGUCAUUGGGACCGCGAAGCCUAAAGGCGAAAUGAAAGUGAAGGUCGGCCUCGCGCCGACCGAGGGAGGAUGGGCCGCGUCUCGAUGCGGCUCCGCACUCCCGGGGCGUCUCGUUCUCAUCGCGAGAAGAGGCGCACCCAGAGCGUACACGUUGGGACCCGAAAGAUGGUGAACUAUGCCUGGUCAGGACGAAGUCAGGGGAAACCCUGAUGGAGGUCCGUAGCGAUUCUGACGUGCAAAUCGAUCGUCGGAACUGGGUAUAGGGGCGAAAGACUAA